rnacentral:rRNA from 1 species
UACGGGGGGGGCAAGCGUUGUUCGGAAUUACUGGGCGUAAAGGGUUCGUAGGUGGCUUGCUAAGUCAGACGUGAAAUCCCUCAGCUUAACUGGGGAACUGCGUCUGAGACUGGCAAGCUCGAGUGCAGGAGAGGAACGCGGAAUUCCGGGUGUAGCGGUGAAAUGCGUAGAUAUCUGGAGGAACACCGGUGGCGAAGGCGGCGUUCUGGACUGCAACUGACACUGAUGAACGAAAGCCAGGGGAGCAAACGGG